CCCAAUAAAGAGUGGUUUCUCUCCCAAGCUGCCUCAUAUCUCUUUGUAUAUAUUUAUUCAUUAUAGGUUUGUGCUAUGUGUGUAUGCAUAUAUAUGUACAAAUAUAUUACAUAUUUACUUGCUGUCUUCUCCAUUAUGUUAUAAACUUCUUAGGAACAGGGAUUGUUUUAUUCUUUGCACAAGAAUCUCCAGAAUCAAGUCUAGUGCCUGACACAUGAUUUCGAGUUGUAUGAGACCUUGGAAGUCACCUCGUCCAACCACCAAUGUACCACCCAUAAACAAAAGCAUCUGGUGGACUUCAUCAUCUCUGCGUGCUUUCUCUCCCUAUUAGAAUAGCAUUACAAAGUGAAAGAAGAUAAAUCAAGAUGCUGUGAUUAAUCACAAUAAUGGGCGAAAGCUGUUGUUGGAAUUCCUAUGACAUUCGAUUGGAAUACCAGUCAUUUAAAAGGCUGUCAUUUGCAUUGUUACCUCUUGUGGAACAGAUCUGUGGGGGUACUGAGAUGACUUCAUUGUGAACUCCAUGAAGGCAGGGAGCCACAUCAUCGCUACAUUUGGAACCUCUCCUGGUGCCAAAUAUGGGGCUCUGCAUUCAGUAGGCAUUUAAUAACCGUAUCAGGUGUGAGAGGUGUUCGAGGACAGGGAGAAAGACUGGCUGUGUGUGGACACCGAGAACACUCUGCCAGCCAGGAUGAACCAAAGAAGACAUCAGGAUGUUCAGAGGCUGCUCAGAAAAGGAAGUUAGCAGCCUGGAGCAUAAUGGACCACACGCAUUCUCCUAAAGGUAUACUCAG
rnacentral:lncRNA from 1 species